AAGCGUAGCUGACAUUAAGCCAACUCACUAAAUGGAGCCUGUUUAAUUAAUUGGCGAUGCUCAAGGUUGCUGGAAAGUCACAGUUCUUAUAAAAGACACUCAGCAACUGGCCUGACAUCAAGUAAUGGGAGAUGACGUCAGCCUUUAAAGAAAUCCGUAUAUUACAAGGCAUUUCUGUAGAUCGAUGUGUAGUGCUUGUUAUUGAAUGAUUUGUAGGUAAUUUGAUUGUAACCCAUUUAA